CGUAAAUUGAAUUCCGCGCCUUUCAACAGCCAAUGAGAGCACUUGCAGCAAAUAAGCCAAUCAAAUCCCUUCAUUUUUAAAAUCGAAUCACGCGCAUGCGCAGUGUCUGGUUUCCGUAACGUAAACGAAAGCCGCGCUUUUUUGCAUAUGUUUUGUUCGGAUUCUCGUUUCUGGCGGUUGACCGUUGUUACUGAUAAGUGAUCGCAGUUUAUAUAGUUCGUUGUUAUUUCUAAAUCAGAAGUCUUGCAAAUUUCACAGGGAUUACGUGCUGACGAUAACCAAGCUUUUCCAAUUAUUUUACUGCCGGUGAUCAGAUACAUCUGAGAAAAAAAUGGCCCAAGUUGAAGUUCCUGGUAAAACAAACAAGGUUGUAAUCAAAACCACUACCGGAGACUUCUCAGGCAAUAUUCCAGUCGUACGUAAACCUUCACAUGUACGAACAAGAGAAUUAGCAGCACUUUACUAUCAAAGGUCAGCUAACCGCGAAAAUUCUGCGAAAUUGAUUGCAGGAGCGAUAGCACGCUGUAAAGAAAAGGGUGAUGAAUUGAUGCAGAAAGCAAGUAUCUUAGAACAGAGGUACUUAGAAAGACGAAAGAAUCCAAACAAUUGCCGAAGCUUUUUUCCAAUUGCCCAUAUAGUAAUCAGAAAAACAGCCGCAUCGCACUAUAAGACGGCAACUGUCCACGAAUCUUAUGCAAAAUGGAUUGCAGCAGACAUGGUGCUCGCUAAAAAGAAGGGUGAUGAAUUUAUGGCUGAAGCAGAUGCCCAAGAAAAGCAAUACUUAGAACGAAAAAGAAAUCGAAUCGUCCGAACUAAGCACUAAAG
rnacentral:lncRNA from 1 species